rnacentral:sRNA from 1 species
GCCAGGUACAGUGGCACAUGCCUGUAAUCCCAGUGUCUAGGAGGCUGAAGCAGGAGGAUCAUGAGUUCAAAGCCAGCCUCAGCAAUUUAGCAAAGCCCUACACAACUCAGUGAGACCCUGUCUCUA